UACGUAGGGGGCGAGCGUUACCCGGAUUUACUGGGCGUAAAGCGCGUGUAGGCGGCUGGCCAAGCGUGGUGUGAAAUCUUCGGGCUUAACCCGAAAACUGCAUUGCGAACUGGUCUGGCUAGAGUGUGUGAGAGGGUAGUGGAAUUCCCGGUGUAGCGGUGAAAUGCGUAGAUAUUCGGAAGAACACCAGUGGCGAAGGCGACUUACUGGACACAUAUUGACGCUGAGGUGCGAAAGCGUGGGGAGCAAACAGG
rnacentral:rRNA from 1 species